rnacentral:rRNA from 1 species
AUGUUGAAACUACCGAAACAUGUUGGUAGUUAUAGGUUAGGAGUAAUUGGAUAGAAUCCGAUAACCGAAUACCGAUAACGAACAACUAAAUAAUAUAUAACAAACUUUAGGGUGGUUAUAGCGGUGGGGCUCACCUGUUCCCAUUCCGAACACAGAAGUUAAGCCCACCAGCGCCGAUGGUACUGCUAACGCGGGAGAGUAGGUCGCCGCCAGUU